rnacentral:rRNA from 1 species
UACGGAGGGUGCUAGCGUUGUUCGGAAUUACUGGGCGUAAAGCGCACGUAGGCGGGUUCGUAAGUCGAUUGUGAAAGCCCCGGGCUCAAUCCGGGAAUUGCAGUCGAAACUACGAGUCUUGAAUACCUGAGAGGGUGACGGAAUUCCUGGUGUAGAAGUGAAAUUCGUAGAUAUCAGGAGGAACACCGGAGGCGAAGGCGGUUGCCUGGCAGUGUAUUGACGCUGAGGUGCGAAAGCGUGGGGAGCAAACAGG